rnacentral:lncRNA from 1 species
CCUGGAUGCCACAGGCUUAGCUCCUACCCUGCUGAGCCUGCUGCUUCUGCUGUCUUAUCUCCCAGCUACCGGGUGGCCCUUUAUCUCCUGGCUUCUUAGCUUGGGAGACCCUGCUGAAUGGGGGCCCCUUGAGGCCUGAGGGAUUCUCUCCCGAUAAGCCCUUUGCCAACCUUUUCACUCUGGACCCAGGACCCAGCGUUCUGCCUGAGCGUGAGCUAGGACCCCCCUCCCAGGGAACGCCCAGGUGCCUUGGGCUUUCGCCCUCCUGCCAACAUCGAGUCUCCAAGUUCGCAAGAGCCAGAGGGAAGGAGCUGCCAACCAGGCACAGCGGAGAACACUGGAACCAUGACAACCAGUCACCAGCCUCAGGACAGGUAUAAGGCUGUCUGGCUCAUCUUCUUUGUCCUGGGUCUGGGGACACUGCUCCCCUGGAAUUUUUUUAUAACAGCAACCCAGUAUUUCACAAGCCGCCUGAACACGUCCCAGAAUAUAUCCUUGGUCACCAACCAAUCAUGCGAAAGCACCGAGGCCUUGGCUGACCCCUCAGUGUCCUUGCCAGCCCGGAGUUCUCUCAGUGCCAUCUUCAACAAUGUCAUGACCCUGUGUGCCAUG